rnacentral:rRNA from 1 species
AGCGAACGCUGGCGGCAGGCCUAACACAUGCAAGUCGAACGGACCCUUCGGGGUUAGUGGCGGACGGGUGAGUAACACGUGGGAACGUGCCUUUAGGUUCGGAAUAGCUCCUGGAAACGGGUGGUAAUGCCGAAUGUGCCCUUCGGGGGAAAGAUUUAUCGCCUUUAGAGCGGCCCGCGUCUGAUUAGCUAGUUGGUGAGGUAAUGGCUCACCAAGGCGACGAUCAGUAGCUGGUCUGAGAGGAUGGCCAGCCACAUUGGGACUGACACACGGCCCAAACUCCUACGGGAGGCAGCAGUGGGGAAUAUUGCGCAAUGGGCAAAAGCCUGACGCAGCCGUGCCGCGUGGAUGAUGAAGGUCUUAGGAUUGUAAAAUCCUUUCACCGGUGAAGAUAAUGACUGUAGCCGGAGAAGAAGCCCCGGCUAACUUCGUGCCAGCCGCCGCCGUAACAC